AGGUCCGUAGCUCAGUGGCAGAGCAUCUGCCUUGCAAGCAGAAGGCCCCACAUUCAGUCCUCGACAUCUUGUAUGGAACUA